ensembl:lncRNA
CUGUGGACACACAAGAAGAGCUCUGUGCCCACAGUGAAUUCGAGUUUAGCUUUUCUCACUCUCUAUCACUUUCCUCCAUGGCAGCAUGAAUGACAGCUUCAGGAAAAAGAAGACAAAGACUGCCCUUGGGUAAGAGAGAGCAGAGCAGGAAGAAGAGAUGGUUCCUCCGCUCUCAAAUCAGCUCUGUCAUCAUCCCAGCCUGUCUUCUUUGAUGGAAGAGACUUGAGGAGUCCUGGAAGCACAAGCCAUCCACCUGGCUGGUGUAAUGAGAUCUGCUACUUGGAAACUGGUUUAAAAACAACAGACCUUUUUUGGCAUCAACUGCUAAAAAGACAUCAAAUGGAAGAGAAUAUAUUGGUAAUAAUGUACCCUGUGGGGAACUCUAAAGAUUUGUGAAAUAUAAUGCAAUCUUUUACAAUGACCUUUUCCAAAG